rnacentral:rRNA from 1 species
CGCGCAGGCGGCCAGGUCAGUCGAAUGUGAAAGCCCCCGGCUCAACUGGGGAAGGUCGUUCGAUACUGCCUGGCUCGAAGAUAGGAGAGGGAAGUGGAAUUUCAGGUGUAGUGGUGAAAUGCGUAGAUAUCUGAAGGAACACCAGUGGCGAAGGCGACUUUCUGGCCUAUUCUUGACGCUGAGGCGCGAAAGUUAGGGGAGCGAACG